UACAGAGGUCUCGAGCGUUAGGCGGAAUCACUGGGCUUAAAGCGUGUGUAGGCGGAUCGGUAAGUACCUUGUGAAAUCCCACAGCUUAACUGUGGAACUGCUUGGUAUACUGCCAGUCUUGAGCCACUUAGGGGCUACCGGAACAAAUGGUGGAGCGGUGAAAUGCGUAGAUAUCAUUUGGAACGCCAAUGGUGAAAACAGCAGGCUGGGGAUGUGCAGACGCUGAGACGCGAAAGCCAGGGGAGCAAACGGG
rnacentral:rRNA from 1 species